GAAUCCCUAAGUACAAUUUAUCAUUACCGCCUAAAAUAUAACCAUGACUUCUCAUGUUCCAAAUUUUCUUUUCAUUUCACAUUUUAGAAACUUUUCAUCAUCGAUGAAGUGCAAGAAAUAGUGAAAAAGGAACAAAGAACGUGAUUGCUCGGAAAUCUUCACAACCCACAACGGCUUCAUCAUUCUUCUUUACCGUUUUCUAUACUCUCUUUUACGCUGCUUUGGAUAUUAAAGUUGAUUCAUUCGUUGUUGUUCUUACUUUUCUUCAGUAAAGGUAAUCGCUUCAGUAAACUCACGCUUCAGCUUCAGUUUUCUCUCAAACUCUUGCUUCCAGAAAUCCCUAAGAAAUCACUCCCCAAAAUCGCUUCUAGAAAUUGCUUUUCAUCGUUUCUCAUUAAAGAGUUUAAGAAAUGCUUCUUCUUCUCAUCGCUUCAAGGGUUCGAUUGACAUUCUCUUCAUCAAAGAAAUCUAUUUUUAGUUCACAAUUUUCUCUUCUCUCGUAUUUGUACCUUUUAUUUCAUGAAAUAGUGGCUCGACCAACUUUGUGGUUGUUUGGUGAUCAAAAAGUUAGAGUGUUCUAUGCUGUGAGAUUUUUUGUUGGUUUUCUCUCGCUUUCCACGUAGACUGUUCUUGUGGUAGCUCUUUCGAGAAAGUAUGGAAAACGACUUGCUUCUUAUACACUUGCUAUGCCGUGCUUAACCAACGACUAUUUCUUUGCUAGCACAAGUUUCUUGUCAAGUUCGUUUCCCAUGUAUGCAAUCUCUCUUGCUUCGGGUUUAUUUCUUCUUGAUAAACAUGCUGCAGCAGUUGUUGUCUCUGCUAUUGGUGUGAUACAUGGCUGGCCAUUCUCAAUCUUGGCUUUCCUUCCGGUGACACUUCAUUCUUUAUA